GACGAACGCUGGCGGCGUGCUUAACACAUGCAAGUCGAACGAAGUGGCGAACGGGUGAGUAACGCGUAUUCAACCUGCCCUUCAGAGGGGGACAACAGUUGGAAACGACUGCUUAUACCGCAUACUGAAGGUGGAGUUUGCGUCUGAUUGGCUAGUUGGAGGGGUAAAGGCCCACCAAGGCGAUGCUCAGUAGCCGGUCUGAGAGGAUGAACGGCCAAAUUGGGACUGAGACACGGCCCAGAAUCCUACGGGAGGCAGCAGUGGGGAAUCUUCCGCAAUGGACGAAAGUCUGACGGAGCAACGCCGCGUGAGUGAUGACGGCCUUCGGGUUGUAAAGCUCUGUUAAUCGGGACGCGGUACCGGAAUAGAAAGCCACGGCUAACUACGUGCCAGCAGCCGCGGUAAUAC
rnacentral:rRNA from 1 species